GCCUUCGUGGCUCAGCUGGCGGAGCGCUUUGCCGCAGUGAGGCAUGGAGUUUCUGUCGCUGGUUCAAAUCCAGCCGAAGGCC